rnacentral:sRNA from 1 species
UCUGUUCUGUCGUGCUUUAGCAAUAUAUC